GAUUCCAUCUCAAGAAACCACCUUCUUUGUUCAUCCAUAAGAAACAGCUCCUCAGCAAGACUCACCUAAGAUUUGAACAAGACACCAUUUGAUGUGACAUUCCAUCUUCCCGCCCAAGAAUGUGGCCUGGAGAAGAGCCCCUCAGGGCUGGCCGCCAUAUUGCUCUUCUCGGUGACCAGUUGCAUGUGCCAUUUCCAUUCACUGAGAUAUCGAGCUUACCCUUGAUGAUUAGUUCCAACCAAUUAAUUUUUGGCUAAGUCAUCUACAAGCUCUGUAUCUACUAGCUACUGUCACAUAACAAACACUCCCAAACUCAGCUUAACCCAGUAAAGCACUUAUUGUUGAUGAGUC